UACGAACUGUGCAAACGUUAUUCGGAUUCACUGGGCUUAAAGGGUGCGUAGGCGGCCAUGUAAGUAGGGUGUGAAAUCCCCCGGCUUAACCGGGGAACUGCGCCCUAAACUGUAUGGCUGGAGUGAGAUAGGGGUGUGUGGAACUUCCGGUGGAGCGGUGAAAUGUGUUGAUAUCGGAAGGAACACCAGUGGCGAAAGCGGCUUCCUGGUCCGACACCGACGUUCAGGCACGAAAGCGUGGGGAGCAAACAGG
rnacentral:rRNA from 1 species